GUGGUUGACCUUGUCUGCUGGCCUGCCUGAGCCAUAAACCCCUGGGGCGACUUUGGCCUGUGAGCCUGGAGAGGCUUCUGGUCCUGGGGGUGGUGCCCUGAAUGUGGAGUCGCAAAACCCUAACACCUGUUCCAGAUCUGCGGGGCAGCAUCAGAUAAGCAAACUAAGGCUUGGAGAGCUGAGAGCUGAGAUCACAGGCCCAGGCUGUAAGAGGGAAGGUGGGACCAGAAAGAAUCCACAUUGCUCUCACCACCUCAAGAACUCUGAGGGCUGUGCUCACCGCUGUUCUGAAGCAUCACUUCCGCUCUGAAGAUCAGGGCAGCCCGAUUUCCCACGCGAGAGCGGAUAGGGCUGCCCCUGGGAUCUGAGCCAUGUCUGUGACCUACCCCACAGCUCACGACCAUGCUGGAUCCUUAACCAACUGAGCAAGGAGAGGGAUCGAACCCUCACCCUCCUGGAUACUAGUUGGGUUCAUUACUGCCGAGCCACGACAGGAACUCCUCUUUAGUUCUUGUUUUAUUCAUUCAUUCAUUCAUUCAUUCAUUUACUUAUUUAUUAUGGCCCCAGAGUGGCUUAUGGAAGUUCCUCGGCCAGGGGCCUGAAUCCACAGCCACUCCAGAUCCUUUAACCCACUGCUCCGGGAUGGGAAUUGAACCCACGCCUCUGCAGUGACUGGAGCUGCUGUAGUCGGAUUCUUAACCCACUGUGUCACAGCAGGAACUCCUUGUUUCCUUGAUUUAAGUCCUCUUGUCUCCCCUCAUGACCGGCAGAGCUCUUCCUCCUGCUGCCCUGACCUGCUUCGAGGUCAGACGCUAUGACACCUCCUCCAGGAAGCCCUUCCUGGUUUCCACUGCCUGCGGAGACCCCAGUCUUCGGAGAGUCCCAGAGCCUGCCUCUCAGAGCCUCUCGUCUGGCUUUCAGGGUGCAAAGCCCCUCCUCCCGCAGGUGCCAUGUCCCCACAGGGCACUCCCGCCCAGUUCAGCCUCCGCCCUGGCCCCUUUGAGACUCCCCAGCACCAGCAGGACAAAUCACCCUCUUCUCUGGGCUAGGCUGGGCCUUUGGGUUUGUUCUGUUGCCCCCUCGUUCCGCAUCUGCCUCCUGCGGGCUGGUCAUCACGCAGACGGGAUUGAAGAAGGCAUGUCCCCCCGGCCUCCCUCUCAGGGUGGAGCAGCCAUCAUUCCUGGUGCUCAGCUGCCCGGAAGUCUCCCUUUCAUCCUCGUGAUGGUUAAUUUCCGUGUCCACUUGCCUGGGCUAAGGGAUGUCCAGACAGCUGGUCACACAUCACUUCUGGGUGUGUCUGUGUGGAAGGUUCCAGAAGAGAGGAGCACUGGAAUCGAUGGACUGAGUGAAGAAGUAGAUGGGCAUCACCCGUUCCCCGAGGACGCAAACAGAACAUAAAGAUGAGCCACGUGCUCUCUGAGCUGGGACCUCCGCCUUCUGCUUUUGGGCAUCACGCUUCUAAGCUCCGCAGAACUUUAGACCCAGACUGAAUUCUACCACCCACUUUCCUGCUUCUCCAGCUUGCAGAUGACAGACUGCGGGGGUUUGGAGCCUCAUAAUUGCAGGAACUAAUUCUUGUACUAAAUGUAUAUAAAAUGUAUGUUUAUAUAGAAAA
rnacentral:lncRNA from 1 species